UGACAUUUUGCUAACCUUUAUGAGUUGUUUGCUCUCCUCCGAUGACAAUUUUGAUAUUUCAGUCAUCUAUCUUAGCUUAUCAGUUUAUACAUGUCUUUUUAUUUUAAAAAAAGAGAUACGUGACUUUUAUUCAUAAAGACAACAUAUUGUAUUUGCAUAAACUUCUCCAUUUUUUCUUUCUUUCAAAACGAUCUUCAUCUUCCAAUUCUAAGAGCUCUUCUCGGCUUGGUUUAAAAAGUUUCUGAAAUAAUGGUGGACUUCUUCCCAUGGUUUGGAGUUUCCGCCCAAGCUUUCUUCGUCUUUCUGAAGUUUCUAGGUUUAUAUGUGGCUAGUGACUUAGUGGCAUAGCGGCAUGGUUGAUACAAAGACUUAGGUUUCUUAAGCUAUUGUUGAAAAUCCUAAGGACAUGACAAACAUAUGCUAACAUUACUCAUGAAGACGUACUUUUAAAGAAGCAGGCAUUCUGAUUUUGAUCUGUUCAACGGAAAUGGAACCGUCACAUAAGACGUCUAAGCUAUUAUAAUGGAAGGAGAUGAUUUUCAAUCUACAUAUCCCACAAUUUGGAGUUAAUCUGCGAUAUCUCACUAUAUCAGACAGUCAGGUCGAUGCUCUUCAACAAUUCCUGCUCACGGCCUCUCCCUUAAGCUGAUUGGGGAUCCUAGCUACUUAAUACUGCUCUCUAAUAAGUUGUUUUCUUACGGAGGAUCAAGGAGACAACUUAUUUGCUUGCCAAGACUUAUUGAUGUCAAGGCCUUCUGCAGUACUACAAUUAAAGAUGCUUCCUUUGCACAAUAUUUCAAGCUUCACAUAGUGAAAUGUGACCUGGGUCACUAUGCAAAAAUGUGCCUUAGAAGGUUGUAUGUGGCGGAUUCAUGCAGCCGAGCUUCCAUGCCCCUGCAUUUUCGGUAAGGACCCUUGGAAAAAAUCGUUACUGUGCAUGUGAGAAAAAUGCACAAAGUGAAAAUCAUCAAGCUUCUUUCGAUAUAGUGACCUUCAUAGAGGAACUGUUGUUAGACAACAUAAAUUUCAGAUGGGAAGAUAUUUCGCAUGAUUUGUAUUAAAAAAAUACGGGAUAAUUGUACCUUAUUUGUGUUGUAUAGAUAGAUAUUGUUUGUUACUUGUGUCGUAUAGGCAAUUAAAGAAGACCAAACUUGGAAAUAUUACUACGACGUUCACUAUUUA